rnacentral:rRNA from 1 species
CGCGGCCUAUCAGCUUGUUGGUGAGGUAAUGGCUCACCAAGGCUUCGACGGAUAGCCGGCCUGAGAGGGCGACCGGCCACACUGGGACUGAGAUACGGCCCAGACUCCUACGGGAGGCAGCAGUGGGGAAUAUUGCACAAUGGGCGCAAGCCUGAUGCAGCAACGCCGCGUGCGGGAUGACGGCCUUCGGGUUGUAAACCGCUUUCAGUAGGGACGAAGCUAACGUGACGGUACCUACAGAAGAAGGACCGGCUAACUACGUGCCAGCAGCCGCGGUGAUACGUAGGGUCCGAGCGUUGUCCGGAAUUAUUGGGCGUAAAGGGCUUGUAGGCGGUCCGUCGCGUCAGGAGUGAAAACUCGGGGCUUAACCCCGAGCCUGCUUUUGAUACGGGCGGACUAGAGGGAUGCAGGGGAGAACGGAAUUCCUGGUGGAGCGGUGGAAUGCGCAGAUAUCAGGAGGAACACCGGUGGCGAAGGCGGUUCUCUGGGCAUCACCUGACGCUGAGAAGCGAAAGCGUGGGGAGCAAACAGGCUUAGAUACCCUGGUAGUCCACGCCGUAAACGGUGGGCACUAGGUGUGGGGGACAUUCCACGUUCUCCGUGCCGAAGCUAACGCAUUAAGUGCCCCGCCUGGGGAGUACGG